rnacentral:rRNA from 1 species
UACGUAGGGUGCAAGCGUUAAUCGGAAUUACUGGGCGUAAAGCGUGCGCAGGCGGUUAUGCAAGACAGAUGUGAAAUCCCCGGGCUCAACCUGGGAACUGCAUUUGUGACUGCAUGGCUGGAGUGCGGCAGAGGGGGAUGGAAAUCCGCGUGUAGCAGUGAAAUGCGCAGAUAUGCGGAGGAACACCGAUGGCGAAGGCAAUCCCCUGGGCCUGCACUGACGCUCAUGCACGAAAGCGUGGGGAGCAAACAGG